AUAUUUUAAUAGUUUAAUUUUGUCUAUGAUUUAUUAAUAGCUUUAUUAUAAUUUAUAUAUGUAAGUUUUUGUGUGAUAUAUUAUUCUUAAGGAAGGUAUUUAUUUAUUCACAGUUAUUAGUUUUAAAAUUUUUGAAGAAAUUUAGAUUUAGUUAAUAAUAUUAGGAUUGUUUAAUAUUGUGCCAGCAAACGCGGUUAUACAAUUGAUUCCAGUUAUUUUUUUUGGAUAGUAUUUAUUUAUUAUUUAUUUAAAAUAAUAUUUUAUUUAUUAGGUGGAAUUUUAAUUUAUUUUUAUUUUAUGGUUAUUUAUUAAUAUACGAACUUCUUUUAUUAAACUAGGAUUAGAUACCCUAUUAUUUUGAAUGUAAAUUUUUUUCCUAGUACUAUUAGUUAUGGUCUUUUAAAUUAGAAGAAUUUUGGCGGUAAUUUAAUCUUUUCAGAGGAACCUGUUCUAUAAUUGAUAAUCCACGUUGGGUUUUACUUUAAUUGUUUAUUUGUAUAUCUCUGUCUUUGAGUAGCUUAUUAGAGUUAUAUUCAUAUAUUAUUAUUUAUUUUAUGUCAGGUCAAGGUGCAGUUAUAUUAAAGGUUGAGAUGGGUUACAUUUAGUUUACUUAUAGGAUAUUCAUAUUAAAUAUAUGGGAUUGAAAUUGGAUUUGAAAGUAAAUAUUAAUAUCUUUUAAUAUUGAUUUUGGCUCUAAAUUAUGUACAUAUCGCCCGUCACUCUCAUUAAUAAGAUGGGAUAAGUCGUAACAAAGUAAUUCUAUUGGAAAAUGGGGUUGGAGGAAA
rnacentral:ncRNA from 1 species